AUCCCAUAUUAUUAAAUUCAGAUUUGAUUAUUAUAAAUCUAUUUGUCUAGAUAUUAUUGUUGUCUCUAGUUGAAUAUUGAUGUGAUUAUGUGAAUAGUAUGUAUGUGAUCCUACGUGUUUUGUGGAUUAAUAUGGAUUUUACAGAUUUUUCGUCCUCCUUCUUUCUUUGAUUCCGAGGACGGAAUCCCUAUAAGGAGGGUAGAUUGUAAUGACCCGGAUUUUUAAAAAUAUUUUUAUUAGUAUUAAAAGUGAUUUUCUUCAAAGAAAGGAAUAAGAUUUAAUAUUUUAUUCCAGUUUAAUGAGUUUCCAAAGUUUUAUAUUUAAACCCCGGGUUAUUGUGUUAUUGAUAAAUAAUUGUAUUUUCAAAACUGAUUUUCAUAUAUUGUUUUGAAAAUUCUGUAUGAAUAUUAUGUGAAUAUAUGUGUGUUAUGUGAUUAAGUGGUAUUGGUGAAUUUGGUUGUUAAUUAAUUAUGAUUAAUUAUUAAUAUUAUAUGAUUAAUAUAUGAAUUUUUGUGAAUUUUGUGUUAUCUAGUUUAUUGAGCUGAAUGCUCGUAUGUGUUCGUAUUCGCGAGAUUUCAAUUUCUAUAUGCUCAGGAGAAAAUAUAGUUUAUUUGGAUAUUUUCAUAUCGAUUUAUGGAAUGUUAGAUGAUUUUAUAAUCAAUUUACGGAUUUAAUUGCGUAUAUUUAUAUGUAAUUAUUGAUUAUUUGAUUAUUCGUAAACCGUUCACUCGUAACGGUGUAGCAAAUUUUCUUCCCGGAAAUUUCGAGAAAACUCACCUUUAGCCUAAUUUGAAUAUUCUGGACAUUUUUCGUGUUUUGACUUUUUCGAUCCGGAGUACGGUUUUCCCCGGAGUCGGUCCGGCGGAGUUUUUCGGGUAUUUUAAUUGUUGAUAAUUAUCUGGUUGUCUCGAUAAACGUGAAACUAGAUAUUUUGAUUCAUCUUUAUCUUGUAAUAAUUGCAGUGGGACCCGCAUACUAAUGACUGAUUAAAAAGCCCCGUUUUGAUGAUUAUCUUGAAAACCAGUACCGAUUGGACCCCGCUUUAUUAAUAUAAAGCUAUUAAAUACGUAUUUUCAUGUCAUAUACGAUCCAAAGGGGUACCAAUUAUUUGUAAAUAUAAAUAGACCUUUCUAGAGCUUUAUUUCACCCGUAAAAUCAUUUCACCAGUUUCUCUGCACGAAUACCGAGAGAAACCGAGCUGUGUUCUUCGUGUUCUUCAUAAUCAAACGAAGAUUUGAAGGCGUUAUUGGAAUCCGAUGGAGGUGUAUGAAUUAGUCAAAACGAAGCUAUCGACGUGUAGAUUAUAGUUUAAUCAUUCGUUUGUGUGCAGAUUCAACAGGAUUUGGAGGAGACGUGUACGCUCGAAGACGUCAGAAAGUCGGAAUGGUAUUGCAAAGCGAAUAAGGGAUGUAUCGAGUAAGCGAAGCGAUGUGGCGAAUAGAGUAUAGCUAGAGAUGGUCUAGAGAUUACGAGAUGCGUAGAUUGUGAAAGUUGAAAGAUGAGAAUGAGCUGUGAAACUGGAGUCAGAUUUAAGAAAGGAUUAAAGAUGAAUGGCUAGUCUAUGAUUGCGAGUAAAGCUAAGGCUAGGCGAGGAGUCAGAGGUGUUAAGGAUCCAGUGAUCAAGAAGUGUGCAGGAAGAUUGAUAAGGUUGGUGCUAGCUAGAGUUGAGCUAUUGAGAUUCAGAUGUAAGUCAUAGCUGGAAUAGUUGACAGUGAUUCUUCUUAUCGAAGAUGAUAUGAUUUGGUAAGAGAUGUGGUGUAAUAAUAGUGGUUGAUUCUAAUUUCAAUACUGUAACCUGGAAGCGAUCCUGUUGUUUUAGGGGGUUCAAAUGUUCUCUUUCAAAUCUUUUAUUAUGGCUUUCAAGUUUGAAUUUCAAGUUUUUAAAUCCUUUGACUUUUAUUAUCAUUUCAAAAAAAAAAAAAAAAAAAUAAUUCAAGGGUGUUUUUAAAAGGUUUUGUGUGGUGACGUCAGAAUCCAGGCCCCCGGAUUCUCGGGCUGUCACAGUUGGUAUCAGAGCAACAGGUUACAAGUUAUUGAAAUUUGAAUAUAGAUUAUAGUCUUAAGUUUUCUAGAGAAGAAAGUUGUGUAACCUCACAUAGAGGUAUGGUUAGACUAUUUGGGAAUAGUCUAGUGAUGUGAGUGAAGCAUAGAGUCUAGUUAGACGACUAAGUUGAGUGUAUAAGUUUAGAGAGAUUUUGAUCCCUAAGUUAGACAUAUGAUUUUUUAAGAUGACUCAUUGAGAUGAUGGAUUGUGAGAAAGGUCAAGAUUAGACCUAGGUAGAAUAGUUUGAUAAUGAAUGAUUGAGUUGGGAUUGGUAAAGAUGCAGAGUUCAGAGUAUUCUGACUAUACUGCAUAAUUGAAAAUGGUCUAUUGUAUUGACUUGAGAAUGAUAGAGAUGCAUGGUUCAUAGUAUGUUGACCAUGUCAGAUAUUUGGAAGAGGUAUAUUGUUUUAGUGAGAUAUGAAGAGUUAGUGUAGAAUAUGAGUUGUGUUGGAUUAGAAGAAGAGAUUUGUAGAUAGAGGUUGAUAGCUGAGAAGUGCAUGAUAGAGAGUAUGUGGAGUUGAGUCCAGUUAUUAGAGGUGAUGUGUGCGAGUAAGUUAGAACGUUAGUCCUCGGCGAUGACGCUUUAAGUUAAUCGGGACUUUAAACGACAUCAAGGUGGGCCCAUAACCCACAGGUUGGCGAUCCAUACAAUCGAUGAUAUGCUACGUGUUUUGCUAGUGACUUCACAGAUAAUGGGGAUGAAGUGGAGGCCAAGACUUAUUACGAACUAUAACGUCUACGAUGACAUCUUACGAGGCUAUUACGAAUCAACAUCGAUCGAUUAUUGAGAACGUUGAAAAGAAGACAUAUAUCGAACAAUGAUUUAUUGAAGCAGAGCGAAAAUCUGAGAAGACCUUGGUAAUACCUCUCUUCAACUAAGAUUCUUUUGGAUUGUUUUUCUCAUCAGUGAGAUAUUAUAAUGAUAUCCUUUCGACCAAAGUUUCGAUAAAUGAGAUUUUCAAUUUCUCAAAUUCUAAGAUGAUAAUGAUAUUGAUUAUUGGUGUGAGUUAGUAUUGAAUCGGUGUAUGAUAAAGGCGUGUUAUGAAGAGACAGUGGAAUUCCUUGAUAUUAUUGAUAUUCUGUGAUAUCCCUUGAUAUUCUUCCAUAUUCUUUGAUAUCCCUUAAUAUUCGUUGAUAUUCGUUGACAUUCUUUGACACUCUUUGAUAUUCCUUGAUAUCUUUUCGAUAUUCCUUAAUAUAUUCCUCGAUAAUCCUUAACAUUCCUUGAUGCUCCUUGAGAUUUCUUGGAUUCUUUCCAUCUGAUUGGGAGGAACAACCCUAUGUAUAGGGGACACAAGGUAUACCUGUCUGUGUGAUAGGAGUUGGAUGGGACGCCAUCACUUGUGUGUGUUGUGAUUACAAGAAGGUUAACAACCUUUAGUAGUGUCUAAUAUGGACACGCAACAUUAAGUUCAUUUGAUCGUAUUGAUCUCCCAGUCACCCUUGUAUUCCAAUGUGACCUAUUUUGAAAACACCUAGUUCUAUUCGAAAAUUCCCAAAGAUCGAUUCUUGGGAAAUGAAUUUUGCAAUUGUGAAAGUUGAUUCUCCUAUUUCUUUAAAGCUAAAGGUAUGCCAAGGUUGAUCAAAAGGUGGAUGACGAUAUGAUAUUACGAAGUGUGUACGUUUUAGUUUCUUCGGAGGAUUCCGAGGACGGAAUCCUUAUAAGGGGGGUAGAAUGUAAUAUCCCAUAUUAUUAAAUUCAGAUUUGAUUAUUAUAAAUCUAUUUGUCUAGAUAUUAUUGUUGUCUCUAGUUGAAUAUUGAUGUGAUUAUGUGAAUAGUAUGUAUGUGAUCCUACGUGUUUUGUGGAUUAAUAUGGAUUUUACAGAUUUUUCGUCCUCCUUCUUUCUUUGAUUCCGAGGACGGAAUCCCUAUAAGGAGGGUAGAUUGUAAUGACCCGGAUUUUUAAAAAUAUUUUUAUUAGUAUUAAAAGUGAUUUUCUUCAAAGAAAGGAAUAAGAUUUAAUAUUUUAUUCCAGUUUAAUGAGUUUCCAAAGUUUUAUAUUUAAACCCCGGGUUAUUGUGUUAUUGAUAAAUAAUUGUAUUUUCAAAACUGAUUUUCAUAUAUUGUUUUGAAAAUUCUGUAUGAAUAUUAUGUGAAUAUAUGUGUGUUAUGUGAUUAAGUGGUAUUGGUGAAUUUGGUUGUUAAUUAAUUAUGAUUAAUUAUUAAUAUUAUAUGAUUAAUAUAUGAAUUUUUGUGAAUUUUGUGUUAUCUAGUUUAUUGAGCUGAAUGCUCGUAUGUGUUCGUAUUCGCGAGAUUUCAAUUUCUAUAUGCUCAGGAGAAAAUAUAGUUUAUUUGGAUAUUUUCAUAUCGAUUUAUGGAAUGUUAGAUGAUUUUAUAAUCAAUUUACGGAUUUAAUUGCGUAUAUUUAUAUGUAAUUAUUGAUUAUUUGAUUAUUCGUAAACCGUUCACUCGUAACGGUGUAGCAAAUUUUCUUCCCGGAAAUUUCGAGAAAACUCACCUUUAGCCUAAUUUGAAUAUUCUGGACAUUUUUCGUGUUUUGACUUUUUCGAUCCGGAGUACGGUUUUCCCCGGAGUCGGUCCGGCGGAGUUUUUCGGGUAUUUUAAUUGUUGAUAAUUAUCUGGUUGUCUCGAUAAACGUGAAACUAGAUAUUUUGAUUCAUCUUUAUCUUGUAAUAAUUGCAGUGGGACCCGCAUACUAAUGACUGAUUAAAAAGCCCCGUUUUGAUGAUUAUCUUGAAAACCAGUACCGAUUGGACCCCGCUUUAUUAAUAUAAAGCUAUUAAAUACGUAUUUUCAUGUCAUAUACGAUCCAAAGGGGUACCAAUUAUUUGUAAAUAUAAAUAGACCUUUCUAGAGCUUUAUUUCACCCGUAAAAUCAUUUCACCAGUUUCUCUGCACGAAUACCGAGAGAAACCGAGCUGUGUUCUUCGUGUUCUUCAUAAUCAAACGAAGAUUUGAAGGCGUUAUUGGAAUCCGAUGGAGGUGUAUGAAUUAGUCAAAACGAAGCUAUCGACGUGUAGAUUAUAGUUUAAUCAUUCGUUUGUGUGCAGAUUCAACAGGAUUUGGAGGAGACGUGUACGCUCGAAGACGUCAGAAAGUCGGAAUGGUAUUGCAAAGCGAAUAAGGGAUGUAUCGAGUAAGCGAAGCGAUGUGGCGAAUAGAGUAUAGCUAGAGAUGGUCUAGAGAUUACGAGAUGCGUAGAUUGUGAAAGUUGAAAGAUGAGAAUGAGCUGUGAAACUGGAGUCAGAUUUAAGAAAGGAUUAAAGAUGAAUGGCUAGUCUAUGAUUGCGAGUAAAGCUAAGGCUAGGCGAGGAGUCAGAGGUGUUAAGGAUCCAGUGAUCAAGAAGUGUGCAGGAAGAUUGAUAAGGUUGGUGCUAGCUAGAGUUGAGCUAUUGAGAUUCAGAUGUAAGUCAUAGCUGGAAUAGUUGACAGUGAUUCUUCUUAUCGAAGAUGAUAUGAUUUGGUAAGAGAUGUGGUGUAAUAAUAGUGGUUGAUUCUAAUUUCAAUACUGUAACCUGGAAGCGAUCCUGUUGUUUUAGGGGGUUCAAAUGUUCUCUUUCAAAUCUUUUA